GACGAACGCUGGCGGCGCGCCUAACACAUGCAAGUCGAGCGAUGAAAAGAAGACAGAAGCCCUCGGGCAGACGUCAUCUUGGAUUAGCGGCGGACGGGUGAGUAACAGGUGAGUAACCUACCUUUGACACAGGGAUAGCCUCGGGAAACCGGGAUUAAUACCUGAUGACAUUACACUAUCGCAUGAUAGAGUAAUCAAAGAACUUCGGUCAAAGAUGGACUCGCCACUGAUUAGCUGGUUGGUGAGAUAACAGCCCACCAAGGCAACGAUCAGUAGCCGGCCUGAGAGGGUGAACGGCCACAUUGGAACUGAGACACGGUCCAAACUCCUACGGGAGGCAGCAGUGGGGAAUAUUGCACAAUGGGGGAAACCCUGAUGCAGCGACGCCGCGUGAGCGAAGAAGGUAUUCGUAUCGUAAAGCUCUGUCCUAUGGGAAGAUAAUGACGGUACCAUAGGAGGAAGCUCCGGCUAACUACGUGCCAGCAGCCGCGGUAAUACGUAGGGAGCAAGCGUUGUCCGGAAUCGCUGGGCGUAAAGGGUUCGCAGGCGGCAAUGCAAGUCUCGUGUGAAAGGCAAGGGCUCAACCCUUGUAAGCACAAGAAACUGCAUAGCUUGAGUAGUGGAGAGGCAAGUGGAAUUCCUAGUGUAGCGGUGAAAUGCGUAGAUAUUAGGAGGAAUACCGGUGGCGAAGGCGACUUGCUGGACACAAACUGACGCUGAGGAACGAAAGCGUGGGGAGCAAACAGGAUUAGAUACCCUGGUAGUCCACGCCGUAAACGAUGAGUGCUAGGUGUCGGGGGAGACCUCGGUGCCGCAGUAAACACAAUAAGCACUCCGCCUGGGGAGUACGUGCGCAAGCAUGAAACUCAAAGGAAUUGACGGGGACCCGCACAAGCAGCGGAGCAUGUGGUUUAAUUCGAAGCAACGCGAAGAACCUUACCAGGACUUGACAUAUAUAUGCCGGUAUUAGAGAUAGUACCUUUUCUUCGGAAACAUAUAUACAGGUGGUGCAUGGUUGUCGUCAGCUCGUGUCGUGAGAUGUUGGGUUAAGUCCCGCAACGAGCGCAACCCUUACCUUUAGUUGCCAGCAAGUAAAGUUGGGCCCUCUAAAGGGACUGCCGAUGAUAAAUCGGAGGAAGGUGGGGAUGACGUCAAAUCAUCAUGCCCUAUAUGUCCUGGGCUACACACGUGCUACAAUGGUCGGUACAGAGAGCAGCAAAAGAGUGAUCUCAAGCAAAUCUCAAAAAGCCGAUCCCAGUUCGGAUUGUUCUCCGCAACUCGAGAACAUGAAGCCGGAGUUGCUAGUAAUCGCAGAUCAGCAUGCUGCGGUGAAUGCGUUUCCCGGGUCU
rnacentral:rRNA from 1 species